AUGUCCGGAGCAGGAGGCAAGUGGAUGGUCUCCUCCGUCACGGAGGAGAACAUCAAAAAGUUACGGGAAGUCGGAUACCUGGCUGCGGAUAUCGCGUGCCGUCUGCCAAAUGCGGGGCAUAUCGUCCCAAUGCCCGAACCCCAUGAGAUGGUAGUUUUUCUUACCCAUUUUAUCCGCGGACUGGGAUUUCCCCUCCACCCGUUUGUCUACGAGCUCAUGUUCUACUAUGGGCUGGAUUUUCAUGAUCUAGCCCCCAACUUCAUCCUCAACAUCUCGGUGUUUAUCGUCGUGUGCGAGGCCUUCCUCCGUAUCAGGCCCCACUUCGGCCUAUGGCUGAAAACCUUCAAUGUCAAACCAAAGGUGGUGGGUGGCCAGCAAGCAGAGUGCGGAGGCUCCAUGGUGGGCAAGAUGCCUAAUGUCACCUGGCUCGAGGGCACCUAUGUGGAUACCAUAAAGGUGUGGAAUUCGGGGUGGUUCUACAUCAUCGAGCCGCGCGACUCCAACUAG
rnacentral:rRNA from 1 species